rnacentral:misc_RNA from 1 species
AUACGAAAGCGCAACUGAUACAGCAGCGCCACGCAUGUGCACCCUGAUUCAUGAGGCGUUCCAAUUAGAUGGUGGGCGGCCUACGGCUCCCUGCUGGCAUUGCGGUACCCCCGCCCCGCCAGAGCCCUCGGCCCGCCUGUUUUCCGUAUAGGGGCGCCCUACCCGGCAUUGUGCCGGGUACACUACGCGAGGUUCGCCGGUCGUUCGAGACUCGGAGCAAGCGUCAUUUCCCGCUAGGGCGCUGCACGCGGUGACAUGACUAGGCACGCGUCACCCGCGCUGCAUGGGCUUUCCCCGCUGGGCGUGACUAGCGACCCCCCCCCCCCCCUUCGUUCCAUCUGCCACGGCAGAGGCGGGCGAGCCUGCCAGACACGCCGCCGACGCAUGGCACCGAUGGAAACGCCAGAUGAAGACGGCGAGGCCAUACCCCCUUCCCCACGGCCCGACCCGAGAAGGCCGUCGUGAAACAGGCCCCGGGGUGCGGGGAUGCGGGGACUGCGCGGGCGCGCUGCCACGCACCGCUGGGGCGCGGCGUCCCGGUGGUGGGCAGGGCAAGGGCGGCGUUCGACAGGAAACGGCGCGAAGAGGCGCCGCACGGGACAGCGCCAAAGCGGGCACGCGUGGCGUCAUAGGCGGCAUCGUCUCCAUCCGGCGGGGUGGGCUCCAUGAGGCACCGAUGCCGGAUGCACGACGUGCGCAGCCCGAGGUGCGCGAGCGGGGCUCCUCCAGACCCCCAUGCGGAGAGUCCCCGCCCCGCGCUACGGGAUGCCGCGGGCUGAGGCGACUUGGGGGACGGGGGGGGGAGGGACGCAUGGCAUACAGGCAGGAUGUGCAAGGUCGCACAGGUCCCACCCCCCGGCCUGCGGCUGGUGGCCUUCCUCCCUGAGCGCGUCCUGCAGCGCACCUGGACGGUCCACUGCCUCCGCCCUCGCGCAUGUUACCCCGGACGCGGCCCGCUUUGGCGCGAGGCAUGCAGUCCACGCCGCGUCUCCGUCGGGCGCCGAUGGCGCGGCACGCGGCCGGUGAAGGGGGCGAGGAAGGACAUGCAGAGGCCCAUAGGACGCACGGCCCGGCUCCGCGGCAGGGCGGCUCGUCCUGGACGGCGAGGGUGCAGCUGUGGUGCAUGGGCGGUAGGUGGCCUGAGGCUGUGCACGCGUGCGUUUGGUGACUUUGUCGUGGUGGAACGGAGGCCUGGAAGUAAAACAAGAGAAUGCGCACCAAGGGAGAAAAGGACUUCCCCUGCGUUUUGGGACAGGAGUUCCCGCUGCAUAAGCUGGUGUUCUGCCGACAGUGUGCAAGUGCGUUGGGUAAUUGUUGUCAGAUGGGGAGCC